rnacentral:rRNA from 1 species
UACGUAGGAGACGAGCGUUGUCCGGAGUUACUGGGCGUAAAGGGUGCGCAGGUGGUUGUGCGCGUGGGGGGUGAAAUCGCCCCGGCUUAACUGGGCGGGGGCCUUCCAGACGGCAUGACUUGAGCAGCGGAGGGGGAGCGUGGGAAUUCCCGGGGUGGAGCGGUGAAAUGCGUAGAGAUCCGGAGGAACACCGACGGCGCAGGCAG